rnacentral:rRNA from 1 species
UACAGAGGGUGCAAGCGUUGUUCGGAAUUAUUGGGCGUAAAGAGCUCGUAGGCGGCUUGUCACGUCGGAUGUGAAAGCCCGGGGCUUAACCCCGGGUCUGCAUUCGAUACGGGCUAGCUAGAGUGUGGUAGGGGAGAUCGGAAUUCCUGGUGUAGCGGUGAAAUGCGCAGAUAUCAGGAGGAACACCGGUGGCGAAGGCGGAUCUCUGGGCCAUUACUGACGCUGAGGAGCGAAAGCGUGGGGAGCGAACAGG